rnacentral:rRNA from 1 species
CCUACGGGAGGCAGCAGUGGGGGAUACUGGACAAUGGGGGAAACCCUGAUCCAGCGACGCCGCGUGAGUGAAGAAGUAUUUCGGUAUGUAAAGCUCUAUCAGCAGGGAAGAAAGAAAUGACGGUACCUGACGAAGAAGCCCCGGCUAACUACGGGCCAGCAGCCGCGGUAAGACGUAGGGGGCAAUUGUUAGCCGGAUUUACUGGGUGUCAAGGGAGCGUAGACGGUAAUGCAAGUCUGGAGUGAAAGGCGGGGGCCCAACACCCGUAGUGCACUGGAAACUGUGUAACUGGAGUGCAGGAGAGGCAGGCGGAACUCCUAGUGUAGCGGUGAAAUGCGUAGAUAUUAGGAGGAACACCAGUGGCGAAGGCGGCCUGCUGGACUGUAACUGACGUUGAGGCUCGAAAGCGUGGGGAGCAAACAGGAUUAGAUACCCCAGUAGUC